CCUACGGGUGGCAGCAGUGAGGAAUAUUGGUCAAUGGACUAGAGUCUGAACCAGCCAAGUAGCGUGAAGGAUGACUGCCCUAUGGGUUGUAAACUUCUUUUAUAUGGGAAUAAAAUGUUCCACGUGUGGGAUUUUGUAUGUACCAUAUGAAUAAGGAUCGGCUAACUCCGUUCCAGCAGCCGCGGUAAUACGGAGGAUCCGAGCGUUAUCCGGAUUUAUUGGGUUUAAAGGGAGCGUAGGUGGAUUGUUAAGUCAGUUGUGAAAGUUUGCGGCUCAACCGUAAAAUUGCAGUUGAAACUGGCAGUCUUGAGUACAGUAGAGGUGGGCGGAAUUCGUGGUGUAGCGGUGAAAUGCUUAGAUAUCACGAAGAACUCCGAUUGCGAAGGCAGUUCACUGGACUGCAACUGACACUGAGGCUCGAAAGUGUGGGUAUCAAACAGGAUUAGAUACCCUUGUAGUC
rnacentral:rRNA from 1 species